rnacentral:rRNA from 1 species
UAGUCCACGCCCUAAACGAUGCUUACUGGAUGUGUGUUAAUGGUAUGCGCAUCUGAGGGAAACCAUUAAGUAAGCCACCUGGGGAGUACGUCGGCAACGAUGAAACUCAAAGGAAUUGACGGGGGUCCGCACAAGCAGUGGAGCAUGUGGUUUAAUUCGAUGAUACGCGAGGAACCUUACCCAGGCUCUAAUGCUAAGCGCUAUUUGGUGAAAGCCGAAGUUCUUCGGACGUUUAGUAAGGUGCUGCAUGGUUGUCGUCAGCUCGUGCCGUGAGGUGUUGGGUUAAGUCCCGCAACGAGCGCAACCCCUAUCGUUAGUUGCCAGCAAGUUAUGUUGGGGACUCUAGCGAGACUGCCGGCGUAAGCCGCGAGGAAGGUGGGGAUGACGUCAAAAUC